GACGAACGCUGGCGGCGUGCUUAACACAUGCAAGUCGAACGGUGAAGCGCCUUCCUUUUUGGUGGGUGUGGAUGAGUGGCGAACGGGUGAGUAACACGUGAGUAACCUGCCCCCUUCUUCUGGAUAACCGCAUGAAAGUGUGGCUAAUACGGGAUAUUCUGGGUCUGUCGCAUGAUGGGUCUGGGAAAGAUAUUGUUUCGGUGGGGGAUGGGCUCGCGGCCUAUCAGCUUGUUGGUGGGGUGAUGGCCUACCAAGGCGGUGACGGGUAGCCGGCCUGAGAGGGUGGCCGGUCACACUGGGACUGAGCCACGGCCCAGACUCGUACGGGGGGCAGCAGUGGGGAAUAUUGCACAAUGGGCGCAAGCCUGAUGCAGCGACGCCGCGUGAGGGAUGGAGGCCUUCGGGUUGUGAACCUCUUUCGCCAGUGAAGCAGGCCUGCCUCGUUUGUGGGUGGGUUGACGGUAGCUGGAUAAGAAGCGCCGGCUAACUACGUG
rnacentral:rRNA from 1 species